rnacentral:tRNA from 1 species
UGCGGGGUGGAGCAGAGGCAGCUCGGGUAGCUCAUAACCACCAGGUCGUCGGUUCGAAUCCGACCCCCGGAACCA